AUGUCUUCCUCCUCCGGCGCAUCUCACCCUAGCCUCAAUGGGCAGGUCAUUGAGAAACUCUCCCGCACAAACUACGCGCUAUGGCGCACACAGAUCACGCCGCAGUUGCGUGGCGCCGGUGUCUUCAACUAUGUUGACGGCACCUCGCCGGAGCCGGCCAAGCUUCUCGCCGCCAAGGACAAGGACAGCAAGGAGACUUUCGAGCCCUACCCUCUCCACCCAAUCUGUGUCAGGGAGGACCAGCAGGUGCUCGGUUAUCUGCUGAGCAACCUCUCCAAGGAGGUGCUCGUCACGGUGACCACGGUCACCAUGGCGCAGGCGCUCUGGACGACGCUGGCGGGCAUGUACUCGUCGCAGUCGCUGAGCCGCGUCAACAACAUCUGCACCUCCCUCAUCAACGAGGGCAACCAGAACACCGCCGCCUACUUCGCCUCCAUGCGCGGCCUCGCGGACGAGCUCGCCGCCGCUGGCAAACCGAUCCAGGAUGACGAGCCCAUCUCGUAUAUCCUGCAUGGGCUGGAUAUGGAGUACCAGCCCCUCGUCUUGGCCCUCGACGCGCGCGUCACACCCACCUCCCUCGACAAAAUCUUGAAUACCUGA
rnacentral:rRNA from 1 species